UUUGAUUAGUUUUUUUUGAUAAAAAGCGUGUCAAAAUAAAGAAGAUCAGGUGAUCCAGUUACCCCUAAUAGGAACGCACCGAGAUGCUACAUAGUAAACUACUCUUGUGGCUCAACGAUUCAAUGGAUAUGAUCUACGAGCGGACUCAGGUUGAACGGACCAUGAAAUUCAUGAGAUCCGUGAGAUCCUCAAUUGGGCCAUCAUAUUGCAUGAUCCGAGUUUGGAGCGCCUUUUAACUAAUGCAGUGGUUAGUCAAGCCGUCUGCAUUUCUAACUAUGUAAACCAAUUGGAACAAAACCCAACUAACAAACUUCCUAAAAAAAUGUGUUUUUGUUUACAAGAAGAUCGAAUUCGGAUCAUGGAGUUUCAUCAUCCACCAAAACUUUCCCUCAACUCAGGUCUGGCCAUUUAUAU
rnacentral:sRNA from 1 species